rnacentral:rRNA from 1 species
UACAGAGGGUGCAAGCGUUAUCCGGAAUUACUGGGCAUAAAGCGUCUGUAGGUUGUUUAGUAAGUCUGCUGUUAAAGACUAGGGCUCAACCCUAGGACAGCAGUGGAAACUGCUAGACUUGAGUGUGGUAGGGGUAGAGGGAAUUCCUAGUGUAGCGGUGAAAUGCGUAGAUAUUAGGAAGAACACCAAUGGCGAAAGCACUCUACUGGGCCAUAACUGACACUGAGAGACGACAGCUAGGGGAGCAAAUGGG